AUUGAACGCUGGCGGCAGGCCUAACACAUGCAAGUCGAACGGUAGCACAGAGAGCUUGCUCUCGGGUGACGAGUGGCGGACGGGUGAGUAAUGUCUGGGAAACUGCCCGAUGGAGGGGGAUAACUACUGGAAACGGUAGCUAAUACCGCAUAACGUCGCAAGACCCAAGUGGGGGACCUUCGGGCCUCACACCAUCGGAUGUGCCCAGAUGGGAUUAGCUAGUAGGUGGGGUAAUGGCUCACCUAGGCGACGAUCCCUAGCUGGUCUGAGAGGAUGACAGGCCACACUGGAACUGAGACACGGUCCAGACUCCGACGGGAGGCAGCAGUGGGGAAUAGUGCACAAUGGGCGCAAGCCUGAUGCAGCCAUGCCGCGUGUAUGAAGAAGGCCUUCGGGUUGUAAAGUACUUUCAGCGGGGAGGAAGGCGGUGGAGUUAAUAACUUCACCGAUUGACGUUACCCGCAGAAGAAGCACCGGCUAACUCCGUGCCAGCCGCCGCCGUAA
rnacentral:rRNA from 1 species